rnacentral:misc_RNA from 1 species
UCCGAGUUGGCCCCGGCGGUCUCCCAUGAGUUCCCGGCAUAACCCGCUGGCAACAUAGGACGAGGGUUGCGCUCGUUGCGGGACUUAACCCAACAUCUCACGACACGAGCUGACGACAGCCAUGCACCACCUGUAUACCGACCACAAGGGGGCACCCAUCUCUGGAUGUUUCCGGUAUAUGUCAAACCCAGGUAAGGUUCUUCGCGUUGCAUCGAAUUAAUCCGCAUGCUCCGCCGCUUGUGCGGGGCCCCGUCAAUUCCUUUGAGUUUUAGCCUUGCGGCCGUACUCCCCAGGCGGGGUACUUAAUGCGUUAGCUACGGCACGGAGAACGUGGAAGUCCCCCACACCUAGUACCCACCGUUUACGGCGUGGACUAC